GACGAACGCUGGCGGCGUGCUUAACACAUGCAAGUCGAACGGAAAGGCCCUGCUUUUGUGGGGUGCUCGAGUGGCGAACGGGUGAGUAACACGUGAGUAACCUGCCCUUGACUUUGGGAUAACUUCAGGAAACUGGGGCUAAUACCGGAUAGGAGCUCCUGCUGCAUGGUGGGGGUUGGAAAGUUUCGGCGGUUGGGGAUGGACUCGCGGCUUAUCAGCUUGUUGGUGGGGUAGUGGCUUACCAAGGCUUUGACGGGUAGCCGGCCUGAGAGGGUGACCGGCCACAUGGGGACUGGGAUACGGCCCAGACUCCUCCGGGGGGGAGGAGGGGGGAAUUUUGCAAAAUGGGCGGAAGCCUGAGGCAGGAACCCCGGGUGGGGGAUGGCGGCCUUCGGGGUGUAAACCGCUUUCGCCUGGGACGAAGGGGGGGGGAAGGUAAAGGGUAAAAAAGCCACGGCUAAAUACG
rnacentral:rRNA from 1 species